GAUGAACGCUGGCGGCGUGCCUAAUACAUGCAAGUCGAGCGAACAGACGAGGAGCUUGCUCCUCUGACGUUAGCGGCGGACGGGUGAGUAACACGUGGAUAACCUACCUAUAAGACUGGGAUAACUUCGGGAAACCGGAGCUAAUACCGGAUAAUAUAUUGAACCGCAUGGUUCAAUAGUGAAAGACGGUUUUGCUGUCUCUUAUAGAUGGAUCCGCGCCGCAUUAGCUAGUUGGUAAGGUAACGGCUUACCAAGGCAACGAUGCGUAGCCGACCUGAGAGGGUGAUCGGCCACACUGGAACUGAGACACGGUCCAGACUCCUACGGGAGGCUGCAGUAGGGAAUCUUCCGCAAUGGGCGAAAGCGUGACGGAGCAACGCCGCGUGAGUGAUGAAGGUCUUCGGAUCGUAAAACUCUGUUAUUAGGGAAGAACAAAUGUGUAAGUAACUAUGCACGUCUUGACGGUACCUAAUCAGAAAGCCACGGCUAACUACGUG
rnacentral:rRNA from 1 species